rnacentral:rRNA from 1 species
CAGUCGCCGCUGUAAUACAGAGGGUGCAAGCGUUAAUCGGAAUUACUGGGCGUAAAGCGCGCGUAGGUGGUUUGUUAAGUUGGAUGUGAAAGCCCCGGGCUCAACCUGGGAACUGCAUCCAAAACUGGCAAGCUAGAGUACGGUAGAGGGUGGUGGAAUUUCCUGUGUAGCGGUGAAAUGCGUAGAUAUAGGAAGGAACACCAGUGGCGAAGGCGACCACCUGGACUGAUACUGACACUGAGGUGCGAAAGCGUGGGGAGCAAACAGGAUUAGAUACCCGCGUAGUCCCUGUCUCUUAUAC